rnacentral:rRNA from 1 species
UACGUAGGGGGCAAGCGUUGUCCGGAUUUAUUGGGCGUAAAGCGCUCGCAGGCGGCUCGUUGCGUCGUGCGUGAAAGACCCUGGCUCAACCGGGGGAUGUCGUGCGAUACGGGCGAGCUGGAGGCCAGUAGGGGGAUGCGGAAUUCCGGGUGUAGUGGUGGAAUGCGUAGAGAUCCGGAAGAACACCGGUGGCGAAGGCGGCUAGCUGGGCAGUUGCUGACACUGAGGCGCGACAGCGUGGGGAGCAAACAGG